rnacentral:lncRNA from 1 species
CCUCCUCUAGAUCAGAUCUGAGAGAAAAGAGAGGUUUUAGAGAGAGAAGAAAAGAUUGAGAAGGAUUCUUGUUCUUUCUUGGUGAUCAGGUUCAAUCUCCAGAAACCUGCCAACGACUGCUUCAACUAAUAGAAGGAAAAGGGCCCAGAUCUAAGCCGAAGAACGAAGCCUAUAAGGAUGCUAGCACACUAAUGGAUUUGGAGUUCUGAUCGAGAUCAUCUCUGUAUGGAUACCAGCA